UUUCUGAAGUAGAUGGUUCCAGAAUGC
rnacentral:piRNA from 1 species